rnacentral:rRNA from 1 species
GACGAACGCUGGCGGCGUGCUUAACACAUGCAAGUCGUACGGUAAGGCCCUUUCGGGGGUACACGAGUGGCGAACGGGUGAGUAACACGUGAGUAACCUGCCCACAACUUUGGGAUAACGCUAGGAAACUGGUGCUAAUACUGGAUAUGUGCUCCUGCUGCAUGGUGGGGGUUGGAAAGCUACGGCGGUUGGGGAUGGACUCGCGGCCUAUCAGCUUGUUGGUGGGGUAGUGGCCUACCAAGGCGGCGACGGGUAGCCGGCCUGGGAGGGUGACCGGCCACAUUUGGGCUGGGAUACGGCCCAGACUCCUACGGGGGGCAGCAGUGGGGAAUAUUGCCCAAUGGGCGCGAGCCUGAUGCAGCAACGCCGCGGGCGGGAGGACGGCCUUCGGGUUGGUAACCGCGUUCAGCAUGGACGAAGCUUUUUGUGACGGUACCUGCAGAAGAAGCACCGGCUAACUACGUG